rnacentral:rRNA from 1 species
AUUACUCCUACGGGAGGCAGCAGUGGGGAAUAUUGGACAAUGGGCGAAAGCCUGAUCCAGCAAUGCCGCGUGAGUGAUGAAGGCCUUAGGGUUGUAAAGCUCUUUUACCAGGGAUGAUAAUGACAGUACCUGGAGAAUAAGCUCCGGCUAACUCCGUGCCAGCAGCCGCGGUAAUAAU